rnacentral:rRNA from 1 species
UACGUAGGGGGCUAGCGUUGUCCGGAAUCAUUGGGCGUAAAGAGCGUGUAGGCGGCCCGGUAAGUCCGCUGUAAAAGUCAAAGGCUCAACCUUUGAAUGUCAGUGGAUACUGCCGGGCUAGAGUCCGGAAGAGGCGAGUGGAACUCCUGGUGUAGCGGUGGAAUGCGCAGAUAUCAGGAAGAACACCAACGGCGAAGGCAGCUCGCUAGGACGGUACUGACGCUGAGACGCGAAGCGUGGGGGGAGCGAACAGG